rnacentral:misc_RNA from 1 species
CAACCCUCAAGCUCUGCUUGGUCUUGGGUGUCACCGGCCCCGGUGUGCCCUAAAAUCAGUGGCGGCGCCAUCUGGCUCUAAGCGUAGUACAUGCUCUCGCUACAGACGUCCGGUGGAUGCUAGCCAGCAACCCCCAACUCAUCAA